rnacentral:rRNA from 1 species
AUUGAACGCUGGCGGCAGGCUUAACACAUGCAAGUCGAACGAUGAUUAUCUAGCUUGCUAGAUAUGAUUAGUGGCGGACGGGUGAGUAACAUUUAGGAAUCUGCCUAGUAGUGGGGGAUAGCUCGGGGAAACUCGAAUUAAUACCGCAUACGACCUACGGGUGAAAGGGGGCGCAAGCUCUUGCUAUUAGAUGAGCCUAAAUCAGAUUAGCUAGUUGGUGGGGUAAAGGCCCACCAAGGCGACGAUCUGUAACUGGUCUGAGAGGAUGAUCAGUCACACCGGAACUGAGACACGGUCCGGACUCCUACGGGAGGCAGCAGUGGGGAAUAUUGGACAAUGGGGGCAACCCUGAUCCAGCCAUGCCGCGUGUGUGAAGAAGGCCUUUUGGUUGUAAAGCACUUUAAGCAGGGAGGAGAGGCUAAUGGUUAAUACCCAUUAGAUUAGACGUUACCUGCAGAAUAAGCACCGGCUAACUCUGUGCCAGCAGCCGCGGUAAUACAGAGGGUGCGAGCGUUAAUCGGAAUUACUGGGCGUAAAGCGAGUGUAGGUGGCUCAUUAAGUCACAUGUGAAAUCCCCGGGCUUAACCUGGGAACUGCAUGUGAUACUGGUGGUGCUAGAAUAUGUGAGAGGGAAGUAGAAUUCCAGGUGUAGCGGUGAAAUGCGUAGAGAUCUGGAGGAAUACCGAUGGCGAAGGCAGCUUCCUGGCAUAAUAUUGACACUGAGAUUCGAAAGCGUGGGUAGCAAACAGGAUUAGAUACCCUGGUAGUCCACGCCGUAAACGAUGUCUACUAGCCGUUGGGGUCCUUGAGACUUUAGUGGCGCAGUUAACGCGAUAAGUAGACCGCCUGGGGAGUACGGCCGCAAGGUUAAAACUCAAAUGAAUUGACGGGGGCCCGCACAAGCGGUGGAGCAUGUGGUUUAAUUCGAUGCAACGCGAAGAACCUUACCUGGUCUUGACAUAGUGAGAAUCCUGCAGAGAUGCGGGAGUGCCUUCGGGAAUUCACAUACAGGUGCUGCAUGGCUGUCGUCAGCUCGUGUCGUGAGAUGUUGGGUUAAGUCCCGCAACGAGCGCAACCCUUUUCCUUAUUUGCCAGCGGGUUAAGCCGGGAACUUUAAGGAUACUGCCAGUGACAAACUGGAGGAGGGCGGGGACGACGUCAAGUCAUCAUGGCCCUUACGACCAGGGCUACACACGUGCUACAAUGGUAGGUACAGAGGGUUGCUACACAGCGAUGUGAUGCUAAUCUCAAAAAGCCUAUCGUAGUCCGGAUUGGAGUCUGCAACUCGACUCCAUGAAGUCGGAAUCGCUAGUAAUCGCAGAUCAGAAUGCUGCGGUGAAUACGUUCCCGGGCCU